rnacentral:lncRNA from 1 species
AUGCCUUUUGACGGCAGGAAUUCAGUUUCUGGGCUGUCUGGGAAUGGGUCGUUUCCAUUGUCUCUGCUCUAUUUAGAUUUCUUUGCUGUACACAGCUCCUUUGUUCUUAUUCAUUUCCCCCAGGUCUGCAGUGUCACACCUUCAUCUGUGCCCUCGAGCUGCUGCUGCAGCCAAGGCAUCUGCUGUAAGCUACAAGGGGAAAACAAAUGGGCAAUGACUGCAUCUGCCUGUUUCUCUUGCUCCCAUCCAGGCCUGAACUGUUCCAGGGAGCUCUUGAGCAACUGCAAGAAGUGCACAGCAGAUGUGCUGUUUGCUGAGCUUGGGAACACCUCCGAGCUCAGAGCAAAGCCCCAGCAAAGCAAGCCAAGAAGACCUGGAGGACACCCUGAGUGGGAGGGACAAUCCAAGCUGUGGAUUUGUCUGCUGCCCUUCACCUGUGGAAGCAUUUUAGAGCAGGGAGACUUGAGAGAGUGAGCUGCUCCCUGAGUCUGAGGUGAUGGUCCAGGUUCACAAAAUGCUGGGAACAUAUCUCACAUUAAAAUGUAUGUCUGGAUUUGAAGGCAUUGAAAAAAACCCUGGUUUUGUAAAAACAAACAAGAAAAAGCCACAGCCCUGGGCAGUAAGAAAUAUCUCAGUCUGAAAGCAAGACAAAUCGGUAUUUCUGUAAAUCCCACAAGGAGAAGUUAUACAGAUUUAUUCUUUUGCUUUGCAUCUCAUUUUAGCCUCAUCCCUUCUGCACUUUUUGUGGACUGCUCCAGUUGCUUGGCUGUCCUGGGUGCUCUCUUGUCUUGCCUGUGCUCACCACCUGGGGAAUCUUUCAUGCAAAGAUUGACCCCACAGCCACGCAGGUCUAUGGAAAUGAGGUGGUGCAUAAAUAAUCACCUGGGUUUGGGCUGUAAUGUGCUGAUCUGACACUGCACCAGCACAGAGCUCCUUUGGGGCUGCUUCUCCCUGCUGGGGGCAGCUGAUGGUGGCACCAAACUGCCCAAGGAGGAGCAGUUCUUCCUUGUGGCCAUGGGGAUGGGAGGGAGAUGGGUGGGGGUGACUGGGGCUCCCCACCCCUGCAGGGGCUCUGGCACAAUCCCUCCCUUUUGGAGUGCUCCAAGGAACUGUGCCUGCAGCGUGAGAUCCAUCCUCUCCUCCUGCAAAGGGAUAACCCAGCAGCUGGGGGGGAGUUUCUGCUGUCUCCUGACUCUUUAUCUGUUCAAAAGAGACACCUCCUCCUCUUCCUCCUCCUCCUCUGGAAUUGCUGAAGUGGCAGCAUGGCAUCGCAUUUCCAGCCUUGGCUAACACCACCCACCUGCUGCCCUGGGUCUGACUGCUGGGGGUUUUGUUCCUUGGCUUUUGUGGUGGAGUGGGCAAGGCCUUUUCUCUCAGCAGCAGCUGCAGAGGACAGACUUGUCUGGACCACGCUGCAGACUGGGGUCAGCUCCCAAAGAGGGGGUGAACAACACAGGGGGGGAUUUGUGCUGCU